CCUACGGGAGGCAGCAGUGAGGAAUAUUGGUCAAUGGGCGAGAGCCUGAACCAGCCAAGUAGCGUGAAGGAUGACUGCCCUACGGGUUGUAAACUUCUUUUAUAAAGGGAUAAAGUGAGUCACGUUGGCCUUUUUUUAUGUACUUUAUGAAUAAGGAUAGGCUAACGCAGGUCCAGCAGACGCGGUAAUACGGAGGAGACGAGGGUUAGCCCGAUUUAUUGGGUUGAAAGGGAGCGUAGAUGAUGUGUUAAGUCAGUUGUGAAAGUUUGCGGCUCAACCGUAAAAUUGCAAUUGAUACUGGCAGCAUUGAGUACAGUGGAGGUAGGCGGAAUUCGUGGUGUAGCGGUGAAAUGCUUAGAUAUCACGAAGAACUCCGAUUGCGAAGGCAGCUUACUAAACUGCCACUGACAUUGAUGCUCGAAAGUGUGGGUAUCAAACAGGAUUAGAUACCCCAGUAGUC
rnacentral:rRNA from 1 species